CAGCAGCCAGCGAGUGAACUCCUGCAGGAUGUGAGAAGGACCUUGCAGAGGUAUGAGGAAAGAGAGAGUCCAGAGAAGCCACUGGCUUUCCCUCCAGAGCUGAGGAACAGGAUCUUGGAAUCCUGUGAUCUAAAUCACCUUGUGAAGAAUACA